rnacentral:rRNA from 1 species
AGUCGAGCGGUAGCACAGAGAGCUUGCUCUCGGGUGACGAGCGGCGGACGGGUGAGUAAUGUCUGGGAAACUGCCUGAUGGAGGGGGGUAACUACUGGAAACGGUAGCUAAUACCGCAUAACGUCGCGAGACCAAAGUGGGGGACCUUCGGGCCUCAUGCCAUCAGAUGUGCCCAGAUGGGAUUAGCUUGUAGGUGAGGUAACGGCUCACCUAGGCGACGAUCCCUAGCUGGUCUGAGAGGAUGACCAGCCACACUGGAACUGAGACACGGUCCAGACUCCUACGGGAGGCAGCAGUGGGGAAUAUUGCACAAUGGGCGCAAGCCUGAUGCAGCCAUGCCGCGUGUAUGAAGAAGGCCUUCGGGUUGUAAAGUACUUUCAGCGAGGAGGAAGGCGAUAAGGUUAAUAACCUUGUCGAUUGACGUUACUCGCAGAAGAAGCACCGGCUAACUCCGUGCCAGCAGCCGCGGUAAUACGGAGGGUGCAAGCGUUAAUCGGAAUUACUGGGCGUAAAGCGCACGCAGGCGGUCUGUCAAGUCGGAUGUGAAAUCCCCGGGCUCAACCUGGGAACUGCAUCCGAAACUGGCAGGCUAGAGUCUUGUAGAGGGGGGUAGAAUUCCAGGUGUAGCGGUGAAAUGCGUAGAGAUCUGGAAGAAUACC